AUUGAACGCUGGCGGCAGGCCUAACACAUGCAAGUCGAGCGGAUGAAGGGAGCUUGCUCCUGGAUUCAGCGGCGGACGGGUGAGUAAUGCCUAGGAAUCUGCCUGGUAGUGGGGGAUAACGUCCGGAAACGGGCGCUAAUACCGCAUACGUCCUGAGGGAGAAAGUGGGGGAUCUUCGGACCUCACGCUAUCAGAUGAGCCUAGGUCGGAUUAGCUAGUUGGUGGGGUAAAGGCCUACCAAGGCGACGAUCCGUAACUGGUCUGAGAGGAUGAUCAGUCACAGUGGACAGAAGACGGGCACAGGCGCACUCGGGGAGAGACCAGGGGGGAAUUUUGAAAAAGGGGCGAAAGUUUGAACGCGCCAUGCGGGGGGGGGAAAGAAGGUGUUGGGAUUAAAAACAUGUUAAAUUUGGGAGAAAGGAAAGUAAUUAAAUACUUUGUUGUUUGGAGUUGCCAAAAAAAAAAGACCCGGCCAACCUUGGUC
rnacentral:rRNA from 1 species